rnacentral:tRNA from 1 species
ACCUGGCUGGCUCAGUCCGUAGAGCAUGCAACUCUUAAUCUCAGGGUUGUGAGUUCAAGCCCCACCUUAGGUG